rnacentral:rRNA from 1 species
UACGGGGGGAGCAAGCGUUGUUCGGAUUUACUGGGCGUAAAGGGCGCGUAGGCGGUCGUGACAAGUCACUUGUGAAAUCUCCGGGCUUAACCCGGAAAGGUCAGCCGAUACUGCGGGACUAGAGUACAGAAGGGGCAACUGGAAUUCUCGGUGUAGCGGUGAAAUGCGUAGAUAUCGAGAGGAACACCUGCGGCGAAGGCGGGUUGCUGGGCUGAUACUGACGCUGAGGCGCGAAAGCUAGGGGAGCGAACGGG